UCCUAAAAGCAGCAGUUUGGAUUUGGUGA
rnacentral:piRNA from 1 species